rnacentral:rRNA from 1 species
AGCAUACAAGGCAUACGGCUCAGUAACGCGUAGUCAACCUAACCUAUGGACGGGAAUAACCUCGGGAAACUGAGAAUAAUGCCCGAUAGAACAUUAUGCCUGGAAUGGUUUAUGUUCCAAAUGAUUUAUCGCCGUAGGAUGGGACUGCGGCCUAUCAGUUUGUUGGUGAGGUAAUGGCCCACCAAGACUAUUACAGGUACGGGCUCUGAGAGGAGUAGCCCGGAGAUGGGUACUGAGACACGGACCCAGGCCCUAUGGGGCGCAGCAGGCGAGAAAACUUUGCAAUGUGCGAAAGCACGACAAGGUUAAUCCGAGUGGUUUCUGCUAAAGAAACCUUUUGUCAGUCCUAGAAACACUGAUGAAUAAGGGGUGGGCAAGUUCUGGUGUCAGCCGCCGCGGUAAAACCAGCACCUCAAGUGGUCAGGAUGAUUAUUGGGCCUAAAGCAUCCGUAGCCGGCUCUGUAAGUUUUCGGUUAAAUCUGUACGCUCAACGUACAGGCUGCCGGGAAUACUGCAGAGCUAGGGAGUGGGAGAGGUAGACGGUACUCGGUAGGAAGGGGUAAAAUCCUUUGAUCUAUUGAUGACCACCUGUGGCGAAGGCGGUCUACCAGAACACGUCCGACGGUGAGGGAUGAAAGCUGGGGGAGCAAACCGGAUUAGAUACCCGGGUAGUCCCAGCUGUAAACUAUGCAAACUCAGUGAUGCAUUGGCUUGUGGCCAAUGCAGUGCUGCAGGGAAGCCGUUAAGUUUGCCGCCUGGGAAGUACGUACGCAAGUAUGAAACUUAAAGGAAUUGGCGGGGGAGCACCACAAGGGGUGAAGCCUGCGGUUCAAUUGGAGUCAACGCCGGA